rnacentral:rRNA from 1 species
AUUGAACGCUGGCGGCAUGCCUUACACAUGCAAGUCGAACGGCAGCAUGGAGAGCUUGCUCUCUGAUGGCGAGUGGCGAACGGGUGAGUAAUGCAUCGGAACGUACCGUGUAAUGGGGGAUAACGUAGCGAAAGUUACGCUAAUACCGCAUACGACCUGAGGGUGAAAGCAGGGGAUCGCAAGACCUUGCGUUAUACGAGCGGCCGAUGUCAGAUUAGCUAGUUGGGGAGGUAAGGGCUCACCAAGGCGACGAUCUGUAGCGGGUCUGAGAGGAUGAUCCGCCACACUGGGACUGAGACACGGCCCAGACCCCUACGGGAGGCAGCAGUGGGGAAUUUUGGACAAUGGGGGCAACCCUGAUCCAGCCAUGCCGCGUGAGUGGAGAAGGCCUUCGGGUUGUAAAGCUCUUUCGGCCGGGAAGAAAUCGCACAGGCUAAUACUCUGUGUGGAUGACGGUACCGGCAUAAGAAGCACCGGCUAACUACGUGCCAGCCGCCGCCGUAA